rnacentral:rRNA from 1 species
AUGUAUGGUGACAUCACGAGUGAUGGUAUAGAUCACUGGAAUCCUGCUUCAGGCACCAUUCCCCAAUCUAGUAGUGCAACUUCAGUUUUCAAUGUGGAUGGCAUACAAGUUGUUGAUCUGGAGGAGACCCAAACAGGUGAGUCACAUGCUGAUGUAAAAGGGAAGAGACUUAGAAGGUAUGUGGAUGGCAAUAACAAGAAGCCGAAGACAUCUCUUGUUAAACAAGAACAGAUAACCAGGGUUGGAGAUAUAGCAGAGAGGACAAAAUCUAGCUUUGAGUCAUACAUGAAGAAAGAAGAGAGUUCAUUGAUUACUUCUGUGAUGGAUCUGGUUGUUGAGUGCGGUGCAAUAGUAGGCACUGAUGAAUACUUCAUUGCUAGUGAACUAUUUGUGAAGAGAGAGAAGAGGGAGAUGUUCCUGUAUAUGGAUGAAAGUGCUGCUCGUUUAGAUUGGUGGUGUAGGCAAUACAACACCAAGUACAGGCAUUAG